rnacentral:pre_miRNA from 1 species
UUUGAUAUGAAUUGAUUUAUGUUUGGAUACACUAAUGUAAAAGUGAUUCUUAUGAGUUAAUAAUGUUUGGAUGG